rnacentral:tRNA from 1 species
GCCACCUUAGCUCAGCUGGCAGAGCAGCCGCCUUGUAAGCGGCAGGUCAUCGGUUCGAAUCCGAUAGGUGGCUCCA